AUUGAACGCUGGCGGCAGGCCUAACACAUGCAAGUCGAGCGGAUGAAGGGAGCUUGCUCCUGGAUUCAGCGGCGGACGGGUGAGUAAUGCCUAGGAAGCUGCCUGGCAGCGGGGGAUAACGUCCGGAAACGGGCGCUAAUAGCGCAUACGUCCUGAGGGAGAAAUUGGGGGAUCUUCGGACCUCACGCGAUCAGAUGAGCCUAGGUCGGAUUAGCUAGUUGGUGGGGUAAAGGCCUACCAAGGCGACGAUCCGUAACUGGUCUGAGAGGAUGAUCAGUCACACUGGAACUGAGACACGGUCCAGACUCCUACGGGAGGCAGCAGUGGGGAAUAUUGGACAAUGGGCGAAAGCAUGAUCCAGCCAUGCCGCGUGUGUGAAGAAGGUCGUCGGAUUGUAAAGCACUUUAAGUUGGGAGGAAGGGCAGUAAGUUAAUACCUUGCUGUUUUGACGUUACCAACAGAAUAAGCACCGGCUAACUUCGUG
rnacentral:rRNA from 1 species